CGCUGAAGGAGUCUGUCUCUACAGACUGCACGCCUUUUCAAUCACUGGCUACACAUGCGAUGCCUGGCGUUGCAUCGCAGGCGAGACGUACCUCCGAAUGCCGGCGCGACAGGGGAAAGGCGCAGAAUAAGGCACGACGGUCAAUACCUCCAUUGAGCUGGGGAUAGAGCGGGAUCGGGGUCGCCGCAGCCCUCGACGGAGUCUUUAUUGGGCAUCACUCACUGAGGAGAGGAGUCACAAAGAAGACCUGUUUUGGUAGACGGCUGCGACGGGAGGGUAAGCCCGGGGGCUUUGCUGGUCGAUCGAGUUCGGCGCACAGUGUCUUACGAGGAGCGGCGUGGGCAGUCUGCAGGGUGAUGUAUUCUGGAACAGGGACGUCUGAUCUGACUAAAUCUCGGAAUGCAAAAAAGACUGGGAAAUGUAUGACCCCGAGAUGUAACCUAAUGAUUCAUUUUUUUUUUCAUAUUUUAAUCUCUAUCAAAGCCAGCAUAUGCUACAUCCUGUUUAAAAAUGCAGUUUCACUCGACUUCUGUCGUUCAUGAACGAUUAGUUAUGAUGGAACGAAUCUUAAGUGAACUUUCACUGGGUGAUUGUUAACUUCGUUCAAUGACUCAC